AUUUAUAAAAAGGGAAAACGAAAAAAAAAAUGAAAGAAAAACUGCAAUGCAAAGAAAAUUGCUCUGCAAUUCUAAAUUUAUCCAUUUUUCCUUGCCUAAUUAGUACGCCGCUCAUAAACACGAAACACACUACUGUUGUGUAUUGAAAAAGAUUGUAAAAUAAAAUAUCAUGGAAAGAACAUGGAUAAAUGCAGCAGCUAAAGCAGAAGAACUAGACUAAAAUUGUGGAAUAGUAACGACAGACAGGCAUGGCAAGGCAAAGCAAAGCAAAGAUACAGCACCGCAUGAGAUUUAGUGAAAAAAAAUUUCGAAGUAUUACUCGUUGCACUAGCAGCAAUCGUCAGUAUAUUUACCUCAAAGUAAUAUAAAAAAAAAUUGAAGAUAUAUAUGUAACACAACAAUUUGUGUGCACAUGAGAGAAAAAGGGCAAAAAGUAGCUAAAAAAGGCAGAAGCCACAUAGUGAAAUUUAUAGUCAGCACAAAACACAACAUACGAAAACACAGUUCAUACAACAACCACAAAAAAAACAAUAACAACAAUAAGAGCAAUCGUUGCUAAUAAAACUGCACCGACUACAGACACAACACAACAUACAGAACAGAACCGAAUAGAGCCCGCAGAGACAAAACAAAAUAUCGGCAACAACAAACUGCAGCAAUCAAUGACCUACGACAUCCCUACAAUGAAAGCAGAAAUUGUGAAAAAGUAAGAACCAGCUGGAGGAAUAAGAGAAUAAUUUCGGUACAAAAAAAACUAAAAAGUAUAAAGUCAUUACUAAAAAGAAGAUAAUAUAUAGUUAUGGAUAGAAAGGUGGACGGUUAAGAAGUUGAAGAGGGAAAAUAAAAUUAUUAAAAUUCAGAACUAUCAAAGAUUCAGUGUAAACCAGUUCUUUAUCUUUAUAAAUAAAUAUGUAAUAAAAUAUAUUCUAAAUAAACAAAAAAU